rnacentral:rRNA from 1 species
GACGAACGCUGGCGGCGUGCUUAACACAUGCAAGUCGAACGGAAAGGCCUUUUCGGAGGUACUCGAGUGGCGAACGGGUGAGUAACACGUGGGUGAUCUGCCCUGCACUCUGGGAUAAGCCUGGGAAACUGGGUCUAAUACCGGAUAGGACCGCACUUUAGUGUGUGUGGUGGAAAGUUUUUUCGGUGUAGGAUGAGCCCGCGGCCUAUCAGCUUGUUGGUGGGGUAAUGGCCUACCAAGGCGGCGACGGGUAGCCGGACUGAGAGGUUGGUCGGCCACAUUGGGACUGAGAUACGGCCCAGACGCCUACGGGAGGCAGCAGGGGGGAAUAUUGCACAAUGGGCGCAAGCCGGAUGCAGCGACGCCGCGUGGGGGAUGACGGCCUUCGGGUUGUAAACUCCUUUCGCCAGGGACGAAGCGUUUUGUGACGGUACCUGGAGAAGAAGCACCGGCUAACUACGUG